rnacentral:rRNA from 1 species
UACGUAGGGGGCAAGCGUUGUCCGGAAUCAUUGGGCGUAAAGCGCGCGUAGGCGGCCCGGUAAGUCCGUUGUGAAAGUCAAAGGCUCAACCUUUGAACGCCGAUGGAUACUGCCGGGCUAGAGUCCGGAAGAGGCGAGUGGAAUUCCUGGUGUAGCGGUGGAAUGCGCAGAUAUCAGGAAGAACACCAGACGCGAAGGCAGCUCGCUGGGACGGUAGCUGACGCUGAGACGCGAAAGCGUGGGGAGCGAACAGG